GGUCGCGCUGAAGGCCUGUUUCCUAGGCUACAGACGGAGGACUAGUUCCUCAUUCUUCUGCCUAGGGGAAAGUCCCCGGACCUCCGGCAGAGAGUGCCGCGUGCACGCGCACGCAGACAUCCCUCAGCUUUCCACUGUAAGGACCGCCAAGAAGCGAAUCCCGCUGAGCGGCGUGGCGGCGUGGGGUGUCACCCGUCAGCUAAUGCUAGUUACGCAGGCAGUGCGUCUUCGCGCACCAACCACACGGGGCUCAUUCUCAGUGCGGC
ensembl:ribozyme RNase_MRP RNase MRP